UUAUUUCAACAAUAAAUAUGAAUAUUAAUCUUAAAAAAGUCACUAUGGACGGAAGUAGAGGAGGCAUACAAAACAAAAGGAAACCGAGGCUUACCUAAGGCAGGUAGGCUAGCUUAAUGAGUAUGUGGCUACUAUAUUGCCAGAAGCAUAACACCAAGUGCACAAUUCGCAUCACACACACACACACACACACACACACACACACGGUAAGGUCAAGCGUGAACACACUGCACUCUUUGACAGAGUCCCACCACCGCACACAAGGGCCAACUAGCAGUCUGCCUGAAGCCUCGGUUCCUAUAACAAAAGACACAGUUAAUCAAAUUUAAUUCUCAAAGAAAAA